GACGAACGCUGGCGGCGUGCCUAAUACAUGCAAGUAGAACGCUGAAGGAGGAGCUUGCUUCUCUGGAUGAGUUGCGAACGGGUGAGUAACGCGUAGGUAACCUGCCUGGUAGCGGGGGAUAACUAUUGGAAACGAUAGCUAAUACCGCAUAACAGUAGAUAUCGCAUGAUAUCUACUUGAAAGGUGCAAUUGCAUCACUACCAGAUGGACCUGCGUUGUAUUAGCUAGUUGGUGAGGUAACGGCUCACCAAGGCGACGAUACAUAGCCGACCUGAGAGGGUGAUCGGCCACACUGGGACUGAGACACGGCCCAGACUCCUACGGGAGGCAGCAGUAGGGAAUCUUCGGCAAUGGACGGAAGUCUGACCGAGCAACGCCGCGUGAGUGAAGAAGGGUUUCGGAUCGUAAAGCUCUGUUGUAAGAGAAGAACGAGUGUGAGAGUGGAAAGUUCACACUGUGACGGUAUCUUACCAGAAAGGGACGGCUAACUACGUG
rnacentral:rRNA from 1 species